rnacentral:rRNA from 1 species
CACCAGCGCCACGAGUGGCAUUCGCGUUUAUUGGGCCUAAAGCGUUCGUAGCAGGUCUUGUAAAUUUCUUGUGAAAUUGUCGUGCUUAACACGACAGCGUGCAGGAAAAACUGCAAGACUAGAGAUCGGGAGGGGUUAGAGGUAUUCUUAAGGGAGCGGUAAAAUGCUAUAAUCUUAGGAGGACCACCUGUGGCGAAGGCGUCUAACCAGAACGAAUCUGACUGUGAGGGACGAAAGCUAGGGGAGCAAACCGG